UAUAGGGAAUAGGGUGUUAUAGAGCUCUGGUCAAAGUAGUGUACUAUAUAGGGAAUAGGGUGCCACGUUGGGACAGAAACUCAGUCUUGAUUCACUGGUCCUGGAGACUGCUAGUUGUUCAUACAGUGUUGUUAUUGAUGAUUAACCUUGAAAUGCAGUGGUCUGAAUCAGGGUCACACAGUGUUGUUAUUGAUGAUUAACCUUGAAAUGCAGUGGUCUGAAUCAGGGUCACACAGUGUUGUUAUUAAUGAUUAACCUUGAAAUGCAGUGGGCUGAAUCAGGGUCACACAGUGUUGUUAUUAAUGAUUAACCUUGAAAUGCAGUGGUCUGAAUCAGGGUCACACAGUGUUGUUAUUAAUGAUUAACCUUGAAAUGCAGUGGGCUGAAUCAGGGUCACACAGUGUUGUUAUUAAUGAUUAACCUUGAAAUGCAGUGGGCUGAAUCAGGGUCACACAGUGGUUGUUGGAAGUUUUAAACAAAUCUACUCUGAAACAAAGGUAUCACCACACACACAUGGUUCUGGGCUUAAAGAAAGAAGACACCUGUACCAUGUCAGAUAUGAGGUUGAAAUGGAUUAGAUUUUGAGUUGCAUCCAAAUAUUACACUUUAUAUACAUCACAGAUGACUGAAAUAUAGCAAAACCAUUUGUCAGAGAAAAACCGGAUUUUCGGCCUUAAAAAACAAUUAUUGUUUAUUAAUUAUGAAAUCAUAAAAAAAUAUGAAUAACAUUCCAUCUUCGAGGUCACUAGGUAAUCUGACUGCAGGAAAGCAGUAGCUACACAGCGAGGUCACUAGGUAAUCUGACUGCAGGAAAGCAGUAGCUACACAGCGAGGUCACUAGGUAAUCUGACUGCAGGAAAGCAGUAGCUACACAGCGAGGUCACUAGGUAAUCUGACUGCAGGAAAGCAGUAGCUACACAGCGAGGUCACUAGGUAAUCUGACUGCAGGAAAGCAGUAGCUACACAGCGAGGUCACUAGGUAAUCUGACUGCAGGAAAGCAGUAGCUACACAGCGAGGUCACUAGGUAAUCUGACUGCAGGAAAGCAGUAGCUACACAGCGAGGUCACUAGGUAAUCUGACUGCAGGAAAGCAGUAGCUACACAGCGAGGUCACUAGGUAAUCUGACUGCAGGAAAGCAGUAGCUACACAGCGAGGUCACUAGGUAAUCUGACUGCAGGAAAGCAGUAGCUACACAGCGAGGUCACUAGGUAAUCUGACUGCAGGAAAGCAGUAGCUACACAGCGAGGUCACUAGGUAAUCUGACUGCAGGAAAGCAGUAGCUACACAGCGAGGUCACUAGGUAAUCUGACUGCAGGAAAGCAGUAGCUACACAGCGAGGUCACUAGGUAAUCUGACUGCAGGAAAGCAGUA